rnacentral:rRNA from 1 species
GACGAACGCUGGCGGCGUGCCUAAUACAUGCAAGUAGAACGCUGAAGGAGGAGCUUGCUUCUCUGGAUGAGUUGCGAACGGGUGAGUAACGCGUAGGUAACCUGCCUGGUAGCGGGGGAUAACUAUUGGAAACGAUAGCUAAUACCGCAUAAGAGUAGAUGUUGCAUGACAUUUACUUAAAAGGUGCAAUUGCAUCACUACCAGAUGGACCUGCGUUGUAUUAGCUAGUUGGUGGGGUAACGGCUCACCAAGGCGACGAUACAUAGCCGACCUGAGAGGGUGAUCGGCCACACUGGGACUGAGACACGGCCCAGACUCCUACGGGAGGCAGCAGUAGGGAAUCUUCGGCAAUGGACGGAAGUCUGACCGAGCAACGCCGCGUGAGUGAAGAAGGUUUUCGGAUCGUAAAGCUCUGUUGUAAGAGAAGAACGAGUGUGAGAGUGGAAAGUUCACACUGUGACGGUAUCUUACCAGAAAGGGACGGCUAACUACGCGCCAGCAGCCGCGGUAAUACGUAGGUCCCGAGCGUUGUCCGGAUUUAUUGGGCGUAAAGCGAGCGCAGGCGGUUAGAUAAGUCUGAAGUUAAAGGCUGUGGCUUAACCAUAGUACGCUUUGGAAACUGUUUAACUUGAGUGCAAGAGGGGAGAGUGGAAUUCCAUGUGUAGCGGGUGAAAUGCGUAGAUAUAUGGAGGAACACCGGUGGCGAAAGCGUGUCUUGGGCUUGUAAUUGACGCUGAGGUUCUAAAGUGUGGUGGAGCAACAGG